rnacentral:rRNA from 1 species
UUACGACCAUACCAUGCUGAAUAUACCGGUUCUCGUUAGAUCACCGCAGUCAAGCAUCAUUGGGCGCGGUCAGUACUUGGGUGGGUGACCACCUGGGAACACCGCGUGCCGUU